rnacentral:lncRNA from 1 species
UUUCUUUAGCCCUGCUGAAGAGGAAUAGAUUUCUGUUCUAAUGUUAAGGGGAAGUAGAAGAGGACACUGCAUGCUAUGGACGAGUACUCAGAGGAUGUGUUAUGAGACCAGAUUACUUGAUUUGUAAUACAUUUCUCUUUUUUACGUUGGAAAACAAAUUGAAAUUUACCGAAUGGACAUAUAUUAAAAGCCCAUACCUAAUAUUGUUGAACAACUGUGUCAUUUCAACUUUCCACCAAAAACAAGAAGAGGUAAGCAAGUCAGAAAAAUCAAAUGAUUUUGUACAACUA